GCCCUGAUGGUCUAGCGGUAUGAUUCUCCCUUAGGGUUAAAACCCACAUCUGGGAGAGGUCCCAGGUUCGAUCCCUGGUUAGGGCC
rnacentral:tRNA from 1 species